GGACUAUGAGAAUCGUGAGAUCAUAUUUUAUUAUUUUGUUAGCCGUCAUGGAGUCGACGUCGUCAUCGUGACUGAAGCCGCCUUCGAGGUGAUUGUGUGAAAAUCGUUUCAUCGGAAAUUCGGUAUAGAAUACUACAUUGGUAAUCGGGUGUCUAGAACUCUAGAAAAAUCAGUGUCUAUAUCACGUGAUGAAGUCGAUUACCAUGUUUGAUUAAAUAUUAAUUUAACAACAACCAACUAUUACUAAGCGAGAAAUCCAAGAUUAUUUUACACCAGUUGAACAUAUUUAAAUGAUUAUAAUAUUUCAGUUCUGUCUUGAUCGCAUUGGGUUUAAGUUAGCACACAUGGAAAAUUUAAACCAAGUAUAUAAUGCUAAUAAAAGCACGUUGUCAACACCUCGUUGUUUCAUUAAGACAGGCUACAUCACUCAAAUAAAACCAAUUGAUAUUACAAGAAAAAUACUAUCUACAGAGGUAUUUUAUAAAAUUAUGAACAAUUUUAACUUAUAGUCUAUUCAGAAUAAGAAUGCCCACUUUCGCACAUGUAUACUGAGAGCCGUGGGAACGGCUUGACCUCCCUGGUGAGAUUUAGGUGUGCUAUGAUUGGUCGUCAUUGUCAACUACUGCCGUUACCUGUCACUGUUGACAACCGCCAUCGUGUCUACAGAGGAUAAAUGCAUAAACCACGAAUGGCAUAGUAUCAUGAAAACACUGGAAUAUUGUAGUUCACUACGUAUACAAUUGUUGCAUGUUGACGACAGCAAACAUCAGUGCAUACCGUGGCAACAAACGUGCGCGAACAAAAUGAGUUUUGGACGAUCGAGUGGGCAUUUUUAUUUUGCAUAGACUACAAUAAACAAUUAUAAAAUUAAGUAUAUUAAUAGUAAGUUUUAUGGUUAUAAACUAUUAUGUAUAUAUAUAUGUAUGUAUGUAUUUAUGUAUGAAAGUACAAGAUUUAAUUAAAUAUAUAUAAUGUUUACAUGGGGUUUCAUCUUACAGAGAUGGUAUAACAUGAUUUAAUAUAGUCUAAUAAUUUCU